rnacentral:rRNA from 1 species
GACGAACGCUGGCGGCGUGCCUAAUACAUGCAAGUCGAGCGAAGUUUUUCUGGUGCUUGCACUAGAAAAACUUAGCGGCGAACGGGUGAGUAACACGUAAAGAACCUGCCUCAUAGACUGGGACAACUAUUGGAAACGAUAGCUAAUACCGGAUAACAGUAUUUCUCGCAUGAGAGAUAUUUAAAAGUUGGUUAUGCUAACACUAUGAGAUGGCUUUGCGGUGCAUUAGCUAGUUGGUGGGGUAAAGGCCUACCAAGGCGACGAUGCAUAGCCGACCUGAGAGGGUGAUCGGCCACACUGGGACUGAGACACGGCCCAGACUCCUACGGGAGGCAGCAGUAGGGAAUCUUCCGCAAUGGGCGAAAGCCUGACGGAGCAACGCCGCGUGAGUGAAGAAGGAUUUCGGUUCGUAAAGCUCUGUUGUUAGGGAAGAAUGGAUAUGUAGUAACUAUACAUAUAAGAGACGGUACCUAACCAGAAAGCC